rnacentral:misc_RNA from 1 species
GUGUAUCAAUUUCAGUAAUUCAAAGAGGAAUGAGAAUUAUUAAAACUGAGAUGUGCAGGGAAACUAGAGGGAGCCUUAUACAUUAAAAGGACAACAUACCAGUGGUCCAUGCAAUGUUACCAUACAAGAGAUGCCGCUCGCUCAAUAUAGAAGUUCCUCGAAAACUGGAUCGACAUUUUGUCCCCAUUUCCCAUUAUACAAUUCUAACAGCUUUUCAGCUGGUGUCACACCUGUUCUAGCUACUUCGGUCACCUCAUUCAAGAAACCAGACUCCUUGAAACCUCUUCUCUCUAAGCCCUCCUUUGCUAACUUAAC